rnacentral:SRP_RNA from 1 species
AGACUGUGCAAGUCUUGAUGGCUGGGAGGGAUUCCUCCUGGCGUUUGAGACUUGUACAGUCUUGAAGACCAGGCGGAAUCCCUCCUGGCCAUUGAGACUUGUACAGUAUUGAGAGCCAGGAGGGAUUCCGCCCGGUCUUUGAGACUGUACAAGUCUUGAAGACCAGGAGGAAUCCCUCCCAGCCAUC